AUGCACAGUGCAGAUUCCCUUGGAUAAUGCCAGUUUGCUCAGGGUUCCCUUGUAUUAGUGAGGAGUUCACCAUAUCUGGACAUUCAUGUCUUGGCCUAUGUUGCUCACUUCUAUUGCUCUCAUGGCUUAGUUCGAGCAUUGUGGGAGGGAAAGGAGUCUUUGGGGGAACAUAGCAGUAGAUGUUUGUGUCUUAUUUUUCUCAUAGACAUACAUUAUUCUGUAAAGAUGGCCUUGUGGAAAUAAGUUUAGUUUUCCAAUAGAGUUGUUAGGAGCCCUACUUAGGUUUUACUAUGCAGUAAUAGACCAUACUUUUACCAUUCUACAUACAAUUGUUACAUUUUUAUUUAGGGCUUGAAAAUUUUAUCUUGCUAGCAAUAAUUAUUACCUGGCCACUGUCUCUGUCUACAGGGACCUAAUGAGCAAAGAUGUGCAUGUUUUUUGCACAUGGCACAGAGAAGACUUAACUGAUAUUAACUAUUCCAACCCAGUCUAACACAACACAGAAUAUCUACAUUAUUGUUUCUUUAUGUGUGUAUGUAUGUGACACAUGUCUACAGAUGCAUCUGCAUAUAUGCAUGUAUUUCUUUUUUAAAUUAUUGUUUUUCCUUUUUUUUUCCUGUCAGGUGAUAAUAGAAUCCAGCAUGGAAGAGGAGUUGUUAGUACCCUCACCUUAACUCCUCAAUCAAUUCUAAGAAAUUAGUUGACAGUUUACUUCCCAAAUCUUCAUUCCUAUAUAUGAUCACUUGGAUGCCCUUUACAGGGUGACCGCAUUGAGUGGGUUUGCUACAGUUGAUGCCUUCAUUUCUAUACCAGCUUCAUCAAAACAACGAUAAAAGUCUUCUUUAUGCCCGGUGACACUUUUCUUCUUGUGUGGCAGUGGAUACCUCCUGCAGAUAAGAAAUGCUUAACUGAGAAAUGCUCAUAUUGGGAUAUCACCGAUGAGACUUUAAUUGGGCAUGGUGACUGUUUCCCUUGCUGCCGCUUGACUCAAUCACAGGAGCCUCACAUAAAUUGCACAAGAAGCUCAAAAUGGUGGAAUUGCUCAGUGCUCCCAUAAAUACAUAUUUACCAUUUUUCUUUGCCACAUGAUAAAUUUUUAAAGCUGAUAUAUUCAAAAGAAACUGCAUACUUUUUUCUCAAAAAUUCAAAGACCAAAUAAUAUAAAAACUAAGGGCCCUCCUCUCUUUCAACUCAAUUCUCACAGUUUUCUUUUAUUCAAGAAAGAUGUGCAUUUUUUUAGUGCACAAAUGGACAUGUAAGCUAUUUUGGAGUGGGUGUUUAGAAGUGAACCCAUAUUGUAACACAUUCUUCUGCCAAUUACCUCUUCCAUUUAAGUCUUUUCAGUGGUUUUUUUUCUAUUUCAGUAAUACAUAUACAUCUGUGUCAUUUGUUGAAUGACUGCAUGACUAUUCUAUAGAUAAAAUAUAAUUAAAUGUUUUAUGGAUUUCUCAUUCAUGGUUAUUUAUGUUAGUACCAAAUUUCUGUGCAAUGAACCUCCCUCUUAUCAACAAUUCUGCAUUUGUCUGUGAUACUAUAAUAAGUUUACCUAGCAGUUGAAUUACUAGAAUUAAGGAUACAAACAUUUAAUAUUCUGAAAUUUAUGGAAAGAUUCUUUUUUUCAAAUGUGGUUAACAAUUUUGUCCUCAAUGGCAAUGAAUAAGAUUGCCAACUUUCCCACGUCCACACAGAUGAUAAAUUUUAAACAUACUUAAAUUUUUGCAAAUGUGGUAGCCCAACUAUUGUCUUAAAUUGUAUUUCUUUUGUUUUUGAGUUUGAUCAUUGUUUUUCAUGUGUUUAUUAGUCAUCUGUAUUUUUAAUUUCUUUAUGUCCAAUUCUGGGGGUGAGUGUUGAUUUUCGUCUCUGAUUUCAGUGAGCACUUUUACUAUUGGUGGAAUAACUUUUCAGAUUGUCAAGCAUUACAGAUAUUUUUAUGCUCCUUUAAACUUUGUUUUUGUUAUAGUAAUGUGUAUAAUUGUUAUAUGUCCAAGUAUAUAACCAUGUUCGCUUUAUAGCUUCUGGUUUCACAUCAUUUUUGGAAAGGUAUUAAUACCAAGUCCAUAAAACUCUUCACCUAUGUUAACUUCUAAUUCAUUGUGGGGUUUUUUUUAAGUCAAAUUCGUAUAUCAUUAGAAUAUUUUUGUUUUGAAGUCUUAAAUUGCCAAGUUAUUUGCCAUUACUUGCGAUUAUUUGCCAAUAAUUGCCCAUUUAUCUGUAAUGCCAUCUUGCGCCUAUGGUGUAUUCUCAUCUGACUGGCUCCAUUUUUGUUCUGUGGAUCUGUGUGUCUCUUCUUCUGCCUCCUGUCUCAUGUGUCUUCUUACUGGAAGAAAUUACAGUUUAGACUGCAAUUUCAUCAGACUUAAUAAAUUAAUUUGGGGAAAUUGGUUUUCAGUAAUAUUGUCUUCACAGUCAAGAACAAUAUAUGUCUCUUAUUCAAAAAUUUUAAUUGCUGUUGACAUUUUUCACUUUAGUUAUGAGAUUUUUCUUUUACUCUGUUCAUUUUUUCUGAAUCUGGAAGUUUUGUUGUGUUUUUGAGGGGUAAAUGGUCACCUCAGUACUUUUCAUAUUUUUUUCAAAAUGUGGACAGAAUUUUUUUGCAAAUAUUGAUAGCUUUAAUUGCCCUCUUCCAAUUUAUCCUGAUUUUGCCUAAGUCCACAUACUGGUACUUUCAGAGCACUUAAACAAUUGUUGAAAUAUUACCCACCCUUGAUUUAAAUGGGCCUUUAAUGGAAUGCUUCUUGGGUUGCAAUGCACAUUUUUUGCUGGUCUGCUUCUCCCAAAAGACCACCCAAAAGACCACCCAAAAGAGCUAUGAAUGAGCAAAGAUAAGUUUAUUAAAUUUACUGCAGCAAGGGAAAACACCACCUUGACAGGGUUUGAUAGUGUUUCAUGGAUCAGAGGAAAGGUGCCUUUGGGUCUGGGCUGUUGUGAUUUAAGGCAGAUAACUGAUUAGGAAUAG